AGAUUGAACGCUGGCGGCAGGCCUAACACAUGCAAGUCGAGCGGGGUUUUCGGACCUAGCGGCGGACGGGUGAGUAAUGCGUAGGAAGCUGCCCGAUAGAGGGGGAUACCAGUUGGAAACGACUGUUAAUACCGCAUAAUGUCUACGGACCAAAGUGUGGGACCUUCGGGCCACAUGCUAUCGGAUGCGCCUACGUGGGAUUAGCUAGUUGGUGAGGUAACGGCUCACCAAGGCGACGAUCUCUAGCUGGUUUGAGAGGAUGAUCAGCCACACUGGAACUGAGACACGGUCCAGACUCCUACGGGAGGCAGCAGUGGGGAAUAUUGGACAA
rnacentral:rRNA from 1 species